CAUUAUAUAAACUAUAUUAGUAGUGAGAAAUCAUAAAAAGGCAUUUGCCAUAUAAUCCUGGGAACUGUGUACAUAGUAUAAUAUUUUAUUUCCUCCCUCCAGUAAUAGUAUCUCUCCCUCCCUCACACACUUCCUGUAGCUAUAUUAUACCUAAACUGCUAACACAUCUAGUCUAUAUACUAUAGGCCCAGUCUCAGCUAAACCAAAAAUGACCUCAGUGAACUAUAGUAUCAGCAACCCUCAAGAUCGAAAUGUCAGGAAAACUUUUAAUAAAGAUGAUCAUGGGAGGAUCAUGUCUUCACUGACUUCAAUAGCCACAAAAUAUAAACCACUUGGAAUUGAGUUUUGCAUUCCUAAAUUUAA